rnacentral:rRNA from 1 species
UACGAAGGGGGCUAGCGUUGUCCGGAUUUACUGGGCGUAAAGAGCGCGCAGGCGGUCGUUCAAGUCGCGUGUGAAAGCCCCCGGCUCAACUGGGGAGGGUCACGCGAUACUGAUCGACUCGAAGGCAGGAGAGGGUAGUGGAAUUCCCGGUGUAGUGGUGAAAUGCGUAGAUAUCGGGAGGAACACCAGUGGCGAAGGCGACUACCUGGCCUGUUCUUGACGCUGAGGCGCGAAAGCUAGGGAGCAAACGGG